GGUGUGGAGAUGGCGUGACGCUAU
rnacentral:siRNA from 1 species